GAUGAACGCUGGCGGCGUGCCUAAUACAUGCAAGUCGAGCGAAUGGAUUAAGAGCUUGCUCUUAUGAAGUUAGCGGCGGACGGGUGAGUAACACGUGGGUAACCUGCCCAUAAGACUGGGAUAACUCCGGGAAACCGGGGCUAAUACCGGAUAACAUUUUGAACCGCAUGGUUCGAAAUUGAAAGGCGGCUUCGGCUGUCACUUAUGGAUGGACCCGCGUCGCAUUAGCUAGUUGGUGAGGUAAAGGCUCACCAAAGCAACGAUGCGUAGCCGACCUGAGAGGGUGAUCGGCCACACUGGGACUGAGACACGGCCCAGACUCCUACGGGAGGCAGCAGUAGGGAAUCUUCCGCAAUGGACGAAAGUCUGACGGAGCAACGCCGCGUGAGUGAUGAAGGCUUUCGGGUCGUAAAACUCUGUUGUUAGGGAAGAACAAGCGCUAGUUGAAUAAGCUGGCACCUUGACGGUACCUAACCAGAAAGCCACGGCUAACUACGUGCCAGCCGCCGCAGUAA
rnacentral:rRNA from 1 species